rnacentral:rRNA from 1 species
UACAGAGGUGGCAAGCGUUGUUCGGUAUUACUGGGCGUAAAGGGCGCGUAGGCGGCCGCCUCAGUCAGACGUGAAAUCCCCAAGCUUAACUUGGGAACUGCGUCUGAUACUGGGUGGCUGGAGUUCGGGAGAGGAAUGUGGAAUUCCAGGUGUAGCGGUGAAAUGCGUAGAUAUCUGGAGGAACACCGGUGGCGAAGGCGGCAUUCUGGACCGAAACUGACGCUGAGGGCGCGAAAGCCAGGGGAGCAAACGGG